AAGCAAUUCUCUGGCAGACACCAGCACGGUGUCCUAAAUUUAAUUCAACUCUGACACUGUCUAUCUGGAAUUAGAGUCAGAUCUCACGGAUCAAGGGCUCAGUCCCACAAGACUGCCCUCUACGUCAGAUACCAAUGGCAAGUCUGGGGCUCUGAACUUCUGACCAACUGGAGAUGAAUUGUGGCCUCCUAUAAAGCCCCUCUUCUGGCUCAAGCAUUUGUUGGAAUGGCUCACAAAACUCAGGAAGGACCCACGUGUGAAGCCUGUGAGUUUGAUUGCACUGCAGGAGGACCCCCUAAAGCUACUGCUGCAAAAUGCUCCUAGAGCAAAGGCCCUUCAGGGUCCAGGUGACCAUGGUACUGCUGGCUUGGAGACCACACUCUGAGGGGCCAGAAUAGAGGCAAUUGCUCAGCUCUCCAUUUUUGUGUUAAACGCAUUUACACCCUCACUGAUUGUUUGGUGUUACAUUAUCUUCUUUCAAGGAGAAUUCAUUUGCAUGAGGCAUGUAGUGGAGGUCAAUUGUCUUUUCUGCAGUUUGCCUCACUUCUCUUAUGGAACUGCCAUGAAACCCCAUCCAUGGGCAAUGCUGCUAUUGGAUCCCACUGAUCACAGGGAUGGUCAUGUAACCUAAGUGGAGCCAGUUAGAAUAUUUCUCUGGGCCUUUCUUUUGAAAUGUAUUCAAGGAAAGAGAUUA
rnacentral:lncRNA from 10 species